rnacentral:rRNA from 1 species
CUUUGGGAUAACCCUCGGAAACGGGGGCUAAUACCGGAUAUUACUGCUGCCCGCAUGGGUGGUGGUGGAAAGAUUUUUCGGCUGAGGUUGGACUCGCGGCCUAUCAGCUUGUUGGUGGGGUGAUGGCCUACCAAGGCGACGACGGGUAGCCGGCCUGAGAGGGCGUCCGGCCACACUGGGACUGAGACACGGCCCAGACUCCUACGGGAGGCAGCAGUGGGGAAUAUUGCACAAUGGGCGGAAGCCUGAUGCAGCGACGCCGCGUGAGGGAUGAAGGCCUUCGGGUUGUAAACCUCUCUCAGCAGGGACGAAGCGUAAGUGACGGUACCCGCAGAAGAAGCGCCGGCCAACUACGUGCCAGCAGCCGCGGUAAGACGUAGGGCGCGAGCGUUGUCCGGAUUUAUUGGGCGUAAAGAGCUCGUAGGCGGCUUGUUGCGUCGACCGUGAAAACCCGGGGCUCAGCUUCGGGCUUGCGGUCGAUACGGGCGGGCUAGAGUUCGGUAGGGGAGACUGGAAUUCCUGGUGUAGCGGUGAAAUGCGCAGAUAUCAGGAGGAACACCGGUGGCGAAGGCGGGUCUCUGGGCCGAUACUGACGCUGAGGAGCGAAAGCGUGGGGAGCGAACAGGAUUAGAUACCCUGGUAGUCCACGCUGUAAACGUUGGGCGC